AAGCCACUGUUUUUUGGUGGUUUAUUGCCUUGCCAUUUCUUAGAGAGAGAGAGAGAGAGAGAGAGAAAAGAAAACCAGAGAGAAAGAAUCUAGAGAAAGAGAGAGAUUUGAAUUCAAUUGAAUAGUUUUUCGGGUGACAUUGUUUUCUGGGUUUCUUGAAUUCUGCGAUCUCGGGAUUUGUGAAAUUCUACAGCGAGUUUUCGUGUUGUUUUUUCAUUUUUUAUUUAAUCUGUACAUAACUGUAGAGGUUUCUAACACGAAGAUCGAUCGUUGUUUAUAAUACAAGAUAAGCGGAUCUGAGCAGUGAUGCUUUUUGUUUGAUGAACCCUGAUUGCCAUGCAUGCUUAAGAUAUGGUGGUGAAGAAGAGACAAUAUUAUGGUUUCAAUGGCUUUCAUAUGCCCCCAGUUCCCAGGGCUCCGAGAUCAGCUAGAGGGAGGGGGUUGAAUAAGAUGAAAGUUGAGGAUAGUCAAAUAUGUGCAUUUGAAUUGCUUGCUUCCCUAGCAGGCAAGCUAUUGCAGGAGAGUGAAAGUUCAGCUUCCAGUAAUGCAUCUGAAGCAAAUGAUCAACCUAUAAUUGGUGGUGGUGUGAAAUUUGAGCAAGAUGAUGAUAGACCAUUGAAAGCAGAAUGCCUUGAUCAUGGAAGUUGUGGAGAAAGUGCUCUUUUUACUCGGUUUUCCUCGCCAAACAGUGAUCAAAAGUGCCUUCUAAAUGAAUUUCCACAUGCUGAGAGCAAUUUAUUUCUGGAGCGCUCUUCAAUGAUCACAAAUUCCAAUUCCUCAAAGAAUGGCGGUGCUGAUUUGAAGUCUGUGAUUUGCAAAAGUAAGAGUGCAUGUGAAAAUAUCCCUGGUAAAGUCGAGGGCUCUUCUGAUUCUAGGGUGUCUUGUGAUGGUUAUGUGGACAAUGGAUUAAGUAGACAGAAAAGGUGUGACGGGCUAGAUACUAGAGGUUUGAUUGUUGAUCCCUGCAGUUCAAAUGAUCCCAUGGAAAUGUGCAUGAAAUUUCCGGCAUUGAUCAAUUCAGUCAACAAUGUUGAAUUGCCAUCAUGCAGGGACCCUGUUCCUAGUGCUUCUAUUCCAAGGCACAGGAAUGGUACUAAAUUAGGUAUUAGAGAUGAUGAUGAAAACUUUACUAGGUGUAAUAAACCUUUAACAAAGUCAAAGGCUUUUAGGCCUCCACAACGAAUUGGAGACCGAAGAAUAAGGAAAUUGCUGACUUCCAAAUACUGGAAAGUAGCUCCAAAAUUGAAGGAUUGUGAAUUUUCCAAACCUGCAUUUUUAGAAGGGGGGGCGAAGUCUCACUAUCUCAAGAGGAAAUUAUGUUACAGUCGUGAAAGGUAUCAACUUAACACCUUUUAUAAGAGGAGGAAGUUUACUGAUCAUAGUGUAGUUGUGACUUCUGAUGGAGGGUUCAGCAGUGAAAGUGUUUGCAAUUCACCUGAUAAGAAUAUGACUGGAGACAAGAAUGGUGCUUCCAUAAUGUUUCACGAUGCAGCUAAUGGGGUAUCAUCUUCUGUUAUAGGUCAUCAAGCAUCCUUCCACUCCAAGGAUUCUCAAGUGAAGUUCAGUAUUAAGUCCUUUAGAGUUCCAGAGCUUUUAAUUGAGGUACCAGAAACUGCAACUGUUGGUUCACUGAAGCGGACUGUAGUGGAGGCUGUAAGUGCUAUACUUGGAGGUGGUUUACGAGUUGGGGUGCUUCUUCAUGGAAAGAAGGUUAGGGAUGACAAUAGAACCCUAUUGCAGACUGGCAUCACUUCUAAUGAGAAUCUUGAUACUCUGGGUUUCUCAUUGGAGCCUACUCCUGUGCAAGUUUCCCCACCCUUGUGCACUGAAGAUCCUGCAGCACUAUUACCAUGCGACACAUCUCAACUUAUAUUGAGGUCGCCAACCACUCCUAUUGUAGAUUCAGGAGUUUCUGACGCCUUACCUGAUCCUCCCCCACUGACUAAUUUGGACACCAAUAUUGAAAGUAAUCGUGAAUCAGUUUCCUCCCAUGCUGACAUAGUAACUGACAAUACACUGCCGGAUUCCAGAGCUCUGGUUGCAGUUCCACCAGUGAAUGCUGAGGAACUUGCUAUGGUUCCUUUAAACCAGAAAUCUAAGCGAUCUGAACUUGUACAGCGUCGAACCAGGAGACCAUUCUCUGUGUCAGAAGUAGAAGCACUAGUGCAUGCAGUUGAGGAACUAGGAACUGGAAGGUGGCGUGAUGUUAAAUUGUGUUCUUUUGAAGAUGCAGACCAUCGGACUUAUGUGGAUUUGAAGGAUAAAUGGAAGACAUUGGUUCACACGGCGCAGAUUGCCCCUCAGCAAAGAAGGGGCGAGCCUGUGCCCCAGGAGCUCUUGGACAGGGUGUUGGCUGCACAUGCUUACUGGUCCCAACAUCAAGCUAAGCAACAUAGUAAGAAUCAGACUGCUAUACUGAAGAUUACUGACGCUCACGCUGUUAGAAAUGGAGUUCAAGAUAUCCAGUCAAUAUGACAUACAAAGAAAGAAAUAUGUUAACACGAACAGGAGAUGUACAAAUUAUUCAAAAUUAUGUAGUAUUUUCAUACUCAGUCGAUUCAUUGCCGCCUUUCCAAACUCUGAGAGGUCGGCAUUUGUAAAUGAUUUGAUGGAAUAAAGCAAAUCAAUUUUUUUCAGCUUCGAAGAUAAGUUUAAGUUGAUCCAGAGAGUGAAGCAUCUACUUUUGUGUCCCCGCACGCCACCUCCAUGUGACAGCGAACAACUUUUAUGCACCAAGAAUUAAUCAAAGGCUUUGCCUUCGAAGAGAUGGCCUAACUCCAACUGACAGGUUUCGUGCAGUCAAAGUCUCUAAUAUUUAAAUGUUUAAAGGGCAACCAACGGCUAGUAUGGAAAUGGAUAAUAUAGGGAUAACAACUACUUCAAAGGCACGUGUACGUCACAUGUUGCGUCUAGAUAGUCCAAUCUGGCUGUUAGUACUUUUCUUCUCUCUUUUUUUUAUUUGCCACCUUUUUUAUAUUUUUAUGUUUCCCAUUAGAUAAAUUAAUUUAUUGUACAAUUUUAAUGAUAUAAAGGCUAGGAAUCUGGAUCUGGAUCAAGUGAAUAAUAUCGGUGGUCUCUGUAUUGAAUGUUGUAUUGUCUCGAGAUAGAGAUGAACUUAAAUUUUCUAACUUUUUUUUAUGCUCUUGAAUAUA